AGCUUCUUAGGUGACCCAUAGUGAACAAAUUUUAUUAACCGUUGGAUUCAUCUGACUUUUAUGGUUGCACUCUACACUCUCCACACUGGAUCUUUCUUCCCGUCCCUUUCUCUCUCAAUCCUCCACCGUCACUGUUUACUCUCUCCUUCUCCCACUUCGCUAUUCUCAUCAGCAUCGUCGUCAACGGCCUUGUUUCCGCGACCACCAUUGUCCUCACCUAUGUCAUCCUUUACGGCAAGGGUGUCUCACUUCCUCGGUGAGAUCGAAACCCUCUCCAGCGGCUAUUGGAUCUCGUCAGUGUUGCAUGUUUACACGGUAACGGCAUUGUCGCUCUACCAAUGAUACGGAGGAGGACCUCCUCGGUGGCUUCUAACGGCACGAAUGAGAACUGAUGACGGCAACAGUGGUAUUGUCGGUGAAGAGGUCUAAACAUGCAUUUGUGCAGUAGAUAACAAGAAGAUGAGCAAGCAAGCGACGAAAGUACUGUAUUUUUUAAUCAAUCAAGCUACUAAUGAAUUCUCCAACUUUUGAGUUUUUUUACAUUUCCAUUUGGUUGUUGUUGUGUUGAUGAUUAGUAAUUUAAAUGUUCUUUCUGUCAUAUUUGUCACUUUUGAUGUUUAUGUUGCAUUUCACUUCUCAAUCUUUGGAAUAACUUCAAUUUGGCAUUUUAGGGGUACAUGUAUUUUAUGAAAGAGACGGUGAUCAACAACGAGGGGUUGUUGAGGAAACAAUGGUGGUAAGGAAAGAAAAAAAAAAUGCCAGCCGUGAGAAAUUGCCUCCGACGACGGCAAAUGGUGGUCGGAAGGUUGCUGGGAGGGAGGAGGAGUACAUCUAGUGUGGGUAGUGUAAAUUGCAACCAUAUAAAUCGGAUGAAUCUAACCGUUGAUAAAAUUGGUUCACCAUGAACCAAUUACAAAGCUUGUCCACCAUAGCCUUGGCCUUAUUUACAUCCUUUUUUUCUUUCUUUCAAAUACAUGUUGUCUGUAACAACAAUAAACAAAAAAAACAAA